GGCAGUGUAGUAUAAUGGGUAAGGCGUUGGGCUUGUAAUCGAAAGGUCACAGGUUUGAUUCCAGAUGGGGCACUGCUG
rnacentral:tRNA from 1 species